rnacentral:sRNA from 1 species
GUAUUGAUGUAAUGAUGUAAAGGGGGGGGGGGUAUGUCAUUCAAGUGACGUAGUUUGAGAGGGGGCGUAAUAGCUUACAGUUUCUGUGCGUCCUUCACAGGUGUCCAGUUAUUGGGAUCCCCAUUAGGAAUUACCUCAUUAAACCUGUGAAGUGUUGGCCUAGUCUUGGCUAUCAGCCCUACUUUUAUUUCUGUUCUAUGCAUGCAUUUUAUAGCCAUUUUAUGAACUGUUUAUGACCAAUUGGGGUUUAUUAUUCCCUUUGGCUUCCUUUUUUGUUUUGUAAUUUAAUAGAACAAUAUUAUAUUUUGUUCAUAGCAAAUAAUGUUUUAAAUCAAUGGGUAUUUGAUGAUGUCGUGUACUUUUAAGGCAUUUAUUUGAUUUUUUACAACACUCUGAAAUGCAUUAUGGUCUCAUGUCUGUUAUUUUCAGAGCUGGCUAUAUUAUCAACAUCUUUUUAUGCAUGUAUUUUCUUCAUACAAGACAGAAUUUUAUCAAUGAUAUGUUGAUAAUUGAAUUUGUAUAAUUUAUAUUACUUCGUUUUAAUUUAUUUCGUAUAUACAGAUAUUUUUCCUUUAUAUAACUGUUAUUUUACUAGUCACAUACCUUAUCUUGUAGAAAAAUCUGUGAUGGGAAAGAUUCAUUAUAAAAUGAGCAAGGCAAUGUUGUAACAUGUAAGGUCAAGGACAUACCGAUUGAAGUUAAUCUAUAAGGUCAAGGUCAUUCAUUUAAACCUUGAUCUUUACAAGAGUUACAAGGCUUAAAAAAAUCAGAUUUCAUCAAACUUUUAUGAAAUAUUUUAACAAAGUAAAGUUUGAUGUACCCAUUUAAUUCUCUAUUGAUAUUUUGCGGGUUCUAUCCAUUUUCAAUAUAUUUUGUUUAAUGUGUUACAGAAGUAUUACAGAGAAAUAAUUAUUAUUCUCAGAGACUGUGUAUAUUUACUGUACUAGAAUAUAUCAUCAACACGUACUUGUGGUCAAAGUUAGAGAGACUAAGAUUUAGUCAGUGUUACAUGUGUUCUGUUGUCAUGGUAGCGGUCUUCAAUGUACCGUAUUUUUCCGACGAUUAGUCGGUAUUUUUUUCCUCUGAAGCAGAGCACCCGACUUAUCGUCUUGUUCGACGUGUCGUAGGCUCGUAGUCAGAAAUUUUUUUAAAAUAGCAUUAAAAAUCUUGGUUUUAAUCAUCUUGAGUUGGCUGUGUGAUUGAAAAUUACGUUGUUGAAUUCACUGUUCAUCUUUAAUAAUUAUCAUUUUCACUCAUCUGUCAACACUUAAAUACAUAAUGAUAACAACAGUUAUUAAAAAAUGUU